CCUACGGGUGGCAGCAGUGGGGAAUAUUGGACAAUGGGCGAAAGCCUGAUCCAGCCAUGCCGCGUGUGUGAAGAAGGCCUUCGGGUUGUAAAGCACUUUCAGUGGGGAAGAAAGCCUUGGGGCUAAUACCCUCGAGGAAGGACAUCACCCACAGAAGAAGCACCGGCUAACUCCGUGCCAGCAGCCGCGGUAAUACGGAGGGUGCGAGCGUUAAUCGGAAUUACUGGGCGUAAAGCGCGCGUAGGCGGUCUGAUAAGCCGGUUGUGAAAGCCCCGGGCUCAACCUGGGAACGGCAUCCGGAACUGUCAGGCUAGAGUGCAGGAGAGGAAGGUAGAAUUCCCGGUGUAGCGGUGAAAUGCGUAGAGAUCGGGAGGAAUACCAGUGGCGAAGGCGGCCUUCUGGACUGACACUGACGCUGAGGUGCGUAAGCGUGGGUAGCAAACAGGAUUAGAUACCCGAGUAGUC
rnacentral:rRNA from 1 species